AAUUUAGCAACUGCUGUCUCUGAAUGUCCAGACUGUUAGCAACAGAGACCAACGUUGAGCCCCCAGAAGAUGGGUCCAUGAUAACCAUGAAGUUGCUGCUCCCUGAACCUAUGUGGAAAAUUGGAUCUGUUUGGUGAAUGGGGUGGAUAAGUAAUAGCCAUGAAAAUUUGACUUUCAGAUUUCUAACCCCGGGAAGCAUAAUUGACUGGCAGCCCUAGCUGCUGUGCUCUGAAUAUCACUGCAUUUGUGCUGAAACCACGCUUCUCACAGGUUGCUCCUAGGCAAUGACUGAGUGAAGCAGGUCCAUUUCCAGAAGGGCACAGGACUCCCCAUAAGCCUGUUUUCUCCUUGCCUUCUGCUACACCUUUUGUGUAGUAUCUGCUACACCUUUUGUGAGACAGGAGA